GAUGAACGCUGGCGGCGUGCCUAACACAUGCAAGUCGCACGAUGAUUAGCAAUAGUCAUAGUGGCGCACGGGUGAGUAACACGUAGCUUAUCUGCCCUCAAGAGCGGGAUAACUCAGCGAAAGCUGAGCUAAUACCGCAUAAGCUCACAUCGAAUAGGUAGAGGUGAGAAAAGGUGAAAACCGCUUGAGGAUGAGGUUGCGACCCAUCAGCUAGUUGGAGUGGUAAAAGCACACCAAGGCAACGACGGGUAGGGGGCCUGAGAGGGUGACCCCCCACACUGGGACUGAGACACGGCCCAGACUCCUACGGGAGGCAGCAGUGAGGAAUAUUGGUCAAUGGGCGAAAGCCUGAACCAGCGACGCCGCGUGGGCGAUGAAGGUCUUCGGAUCGUAAAGCCCUUUUUUGAGUGACGAGUAAGGACGGUAGCUCAAGAAAAAGUGUCGGCUAACUACGUG
rnacentral:rRNA from 1 species